GGGGACAUCCGAUAAAAUUGGAACGAUACAGAGAAGAUUAGCAUGGCCCCUGCGCAAGGAUGACACGCACAAAUCGAGAAAUGGUCCAAAUUUUUUUCUUACCCAUUUUGCCCACGACUUCUGUAUCUGAUUUUACCAAAACACCCACGUAAAUCGUCACUUUCCCACACUACCCCUGACAUCUUUCGACGUGUCUUCUCCUCCCCCUUUGAGACUCACCGUAAGCUUAUAGUGGAGCUCCUCCCUCUGUAAUUCCUCUUCCUUCGUCUCCGCGUUCCCCUACCAAUUUCAGUAACUCCUCUCUCUCUAUAUAUAUAUACAGACACAAAGCUGAUGACAAGAAGUCUUGGGGUUUACAUAUCUGUGAUUGAUUUGUUUUCUUAUGGUGUUAUUGUUAGCAUUUUGCCCAAAGGGUUCGUUCCUUGUUUGCUAGACAAGCGUGUUCUUUAUAAAUGUUGAUAUAUAUGAUGCUAUCAGAUUGAAGGUUAUUAAUCAGGCCAAUUGCCAAUGUGAGUGAAUGGAAUGGAUUGCUUCGAUUGGUGUAGCAGCCGCUACAGCAUAUUAUGUAUCUAUUAGAGACAGUGAAACUAGAUUAUGAUGAGUUCAAUUAUUGUGGGGAGCUGAUGUAUAUUUGGAGAGGGUUUCUCGGGGAAGAAUGAGAUUUGGUUUUUGGUAUUUCACAUCAAGGACUGCAAGAGAGACCUACAGUUGGUUGUUAGUACCAAUGUGUAUCUAUUCCAUUUUGGGCCACUUUAGGCUUUCAGCUGAAACACAUAGUUCUGGCUGAGAACUCAAUGGUAGAUUUUUGUGUCAUUGGUAUGAUUAUUCUGGUCUGGUCUUUCAUUUAAGGAACUGGAGUUUAUUUUAUUGUAUAACCAGCAGGGGUUUAUGGUCAGCAUGUCCUCAUGGAAGAGAGGGGUUUCACGGACAGAAGCUUGAGAAGAGGGAACAGAACCCUUGUGGUAGGGAGCCGGGGAUUAACAAGACUCCUAGCAUAAGGAGUUCCUAAUAUGCAUCAUGACCAUUGCAUCCUUCUAAAAUCAAAAUAAUGACAUUUUCCGGUCAACUGUCUCUCAAUUUGUAUGGAUAAUGAUCCUAUUUGCUCAAGCUCAGUAAGCUUAACUAGUUGUCCAACUAUGCCACUAUUUUAUCAUUGGAUGGAUGAUUUUUACGUUCAUAUUUCCAUGCAUUAUGCUUUCUCAACUCUACUUACCUAAAAGUAUAUGCAUUAUAUUUAUUUAUGAAGUAGUUUCUCUAUUUUCAACCUCUAUGGCUUGGGAAUCCUCAUUCAGGCACUACUAGUUGUUAUGAAUUGUCAUAGAUUUUCAGUUUUCCUGAUCAGACUGCACAAAUGGUAUUGGUUGACAUGGUUGUGUGAUUAAGUUAUUUGAUCUAAUGGUCAUUCCGCCCUAGAUUUCCCAAACCAAAUGUCAGAGACUUUUGAGGUGCUCAUGAUACUGCUGAAAAUUGCUCACCUUGUCAUGUUAUUUUUCCUUCUACCUCAUGCUUUUGCAUGAUUGGUUUGCUGGGCAUGUUAUGCUUCUGGCCGAAUACACAAGCAUACAUUGCAUGUUUGUGUAAAUAGAAUGAGACUCUCCAUCUGAAACAGGAUAGCAAGAGUUAUCUAUGGCGAAUACACCAUAUAUUUUUAAAAUUUUCCUUUCCUUGGUUAGUAGUUGGUCAGCAAUUUCAGUAUAUAGAACAAUUUGCUAAUUGUGUGCAGUUCAGUGCUGACAGCUGACGAGGCAUCUAAAUCAGUCCAGGAAUCAAUUUUCGACAAUAAAACCUUGGGAAGGAAACUUUGAAAUUGUUGAAAGAGUCUAUUGUGCAAGUGUUGUAUGUUCAAUUAUAAUGAUGCAAGCAUCUAACUCAGUGCUGCAUUUUUCUAUCCAGCAACUGUUAUCUUCCUCUUUCGUUUAGAGCAUAAAUAAAUUAGAUUAUAUAACACUGUUCUCUUUUAUGCAAGUGUGACAU